UACGUAGGGUGCAAGCGUUAAUCGGAAUUACUGGGCGUAAAGCGCGUUCAGGCGGUCUGGCAAGUCGGGCAUGAAAUCUCUCGGCUCAACCGGGAGGGGUUGUCCGAUACUGCUGGGCUUGAGGGCAGUAGAGGGUGGUGGAAUUCCGGGUGUAGUGGUGAAAUGCGUAGAGAUCCGGAGGAACACCAGUGGCGAAGGCGGCCACCUGGACUGUACCUGACGCUCAAACGCGAAAGCUAGGGGAGCGAAC
rnacentral:rRNA from 1 species